GGUUGUAUAGUGUAGUUGGUUAUCACAUCGGAUUCUGAUCAUGCGAUUCAUUCGCUCACAUCGGAUUCUGAUCAUGCGAUUCAAUUCGCCAAUCAUUCCGGGGACCUGAGUUCGAAUCUCGGUACGACCU
rnacentral:tRNA from 1 species